rnacentral:rRNA from 1 species
AUUGAACGCUGGCGGCAUGCCUUACACAUGCAAGUCGAACGGUAACAGGUCUUCGGAUGCUGACAAGUGGCGAACGGGUGAGUAAUACAUCGGAACGUGCCUAGUAGUGGGGGAUAACUACUCGAAAGAGUGGCUAAUACCGCAUGAGAUCUACGGAUGAAAGCAGGGGAUCGCAAGACCUUGUGCUACUAGAGCGGCCGAUGGCAGAUUAGGUAGUUGGUGGGAUAAAAGCUUACCAAGCCGACGAUCUGUAGCUGGUCGGAGAGGACGAUCAGCCACACUGGAACGGGGACACGGCCCAGACUCCUACGGGAGGCAGCAGUGGGGAAUUUUGGACGAUGGGCGAAAGCCUGAUCCAGCAAUGCCGCGUGCAGGAUGAAGGCCUUCGGGUUGUAAACUGCUUUUGUACGGAACGAAAAGCCCCGGGUUAAUACCCUGGGGUCAUGACGGUACCGAAAGAAUAAGCACCGGCUAACUACGUGCCAGCCGCCGCAGUAA